rnacentral:rRNA from 1 species
AGUGAACGCUGGCGGUAGGCCUAACACAUGCAAGUCGAACGGCAGCACAGGAGAGCUUGCUCUCUGGGUGGCGAGUGGCGGACGGGUGAGGAAUACAUCGGAAUCUACCUUUUCGUGGGGGAUAACGUAGGGAAACUUACGCUAAUACCGCAUAAGACCUUCGGGUGAAAGCAGGGGACCUUCGGGCCUUGCGCGGAUAGAUGAGCCGAUGUCGGAUUAGCUUGUUGGCGGGGUAAAAGCCCACCAAGGCGACGAUCCGUAGCUGGUCUGAGAGGAUGAUCAGCCACACUGGAACUGAGACACGGUCCAGACUCCUACGGGAGGCAGCAGUGGGGAAUAUUGGACAAUGGGCGCAAGCCUGAUCCAGCCAUACCGCGUGGGUGAAGAAGGCCUUCGGGUGUAAAGCCCUUUGUUGGGAAAGAAACUUAGCGGGCUAAUACCCAGCAAGUCUGACGGUACCCAAAGAAUAAGCACCGGCUAACUUCGUGCCAGCAGCCGCGGU